UACGUAGGGUGCAAGCGUUAUCCGGAAUUAUUGGGCGUAAAGAGCUCGUAGGCGGUUUGUCGCGUCUGCUGUGAAAACUGGAGGCUCAACCUCCAGCCUGAAGUGGGUACGGGCAGACUAGAGUGCGGUAGGGAGAUUGGAAUUCCUGGUGUAGCGGUGGAAUGCGCAGAUAUCAGGAGGAACACCGAUGGCGAAGGCAGAUCUCUGGGCCGUAACUGACGCUGAGGAGCGAAAGCAUGGGGAGCGAACAGG
rnacentral:rRNA from 1 species